GCCAGUGUAGCUUAAUCUAAAGCAUGACACUGAAGAUGUCAAGACGGGCCCUGAAAAGCCCCACAAGCA
rnacentral:tRNA from 2 species